rnacentral:snRNA from 1 species
GUGCUUGCCUCAGCAGCAUAUAUACUGGAACAAUACAGAGAAGAAUAGCACGGCCGCUACACAAGAAUGACAUGCAAUCUCAUAAAGUGUUCCAUAUUUUA